AAUGCGAAUUCCCUGAAUCAGUACAGUGUUCUACAAGCUGUGGCUCAUCCCACAUAAACAGGCUCUGGAAGAGCUUCUUCCGCUUUCUUAUAAAUAACAUAAACAACAAGCUUGAUAGCGGCGGUGAAGUGUGGGCCAGGACACUGUUAUAAGUAGCCAAUUUAAUGACAUUUGUCUUCACACACUUGAUUGAUUUUGGAGCUCCACAGACUUCGUGCACUACACAUACGCACAUAAACCCUUGCUAUCUCUGUCGAACAUCACGAGACCCCACAGAAAAAGACUUGUGCAUCUUGGAGUUUCAAUUUUGCCCAAGCCACAACCGCUAACUUCCUCAAGGAUAAUCCUCUGGGGAAGGCAGGACUUUGAAAUCCAAUUAAGAAAUUAACUUCUUCCCUCAUUUUGGCAGUGAUUGUAAUUUCCCUCUGGGCUUGUGGAUUUUAGAUGAUGGAAACUGUGAGAAGAGGUGGUUAUAGGGAUGGAUUUAGGACAUCAUGGUGAACCGCUGUAGGCUGGGAAAUGAAAUGUAGAGAGCUGAUGGAGCUUCCCAACGAUCCAAGCAUGCUAAAAUGUCAUCGAGUAGACAAACGGUGGAAAGUGAUGGUCCUAACUAUGAGUAGAAGAGCAGCAAUGUAGUGUGAUCACAUUUUAACUGAUAACAGAGUGGUCUAAACCUCUGAGACCACCAGUAACCACGUCCAUUUUCCUACAUUAAUUGAUGCAUUUACUAUAUUUUUCUUGCAAUGCAAAAUGAGAGCUUAAACAUAAAGGUGUCAAUGUUUUUUUUGUUUUUUUUUGGGUUAAUUUGUUUUCUGUCCGGCAGUUAACAAGUAGGAUGUAUUAAGCGGAAUGUCAUAUUUUGAUGGACAAUUUUGCUUUUUCAAGAGAAGUAUAUAAAUAAUACAUAUAAUGCUGUUGAUUAAUGUUUUAUAUUAGUUUUUAUCAGUCUUUAUAUUUAGGAUGGUUGGCAAAUAGGUUGAGUCUGUGUGUGUGUGUGUGUGUGUGUGUGUGUGUGUGUGUGUGUGUGUGUUUGUAACUGCAGUACUGUUGUUAACUGUUAAAUUAAUAUUAAUACCAAGGUGUCAAAGUUAAGAGCAAGCAAAACUGCCACAAAGUUGAUAUUUUGCCUGGUUCUUUUUAGAUGUUUUUACAUGUUUUACAUGUUUUUUACCAAUUUUAUUAUGUGAAUGGCGUUUGGGGGAGUUGCAGGGUUUAGAUUAAAAAUACGAAUUAAAUUGGACAAUUCCAAAAGAAUUGCUGAUGAAUUUGGCCUUUUUAGUGAUUUAAUAUCAAUUGCAUCUCUCCAGUGUUUAACUACAAAUAGUGGAUGAUAAUGAAACCGUAAGCGGUGCGAUGUCGCCCCCGCUCGGCCGUUUGGUGGCAUCGCAGCCGGUUCUUAAUGGAGUCUUGUCUAAGCGAUCAUUAUUUUCCUCACAGAAAAGAUAACUGCUGUUCCCCGUUGACGCCGUGACACGGGGGUCACCGUGUUUCUACACACUGCUAGAAGCGCAGAGCAGGGCUUUUCGCCGCUGAGGACCUCGAUGUCACCGCACACGUGGAGGCUGGAGCCAAACGCCAGCUCCUGUCGUUAACACUGCUUUUAGGAGCGCGUGUCUCCUCCGGUUCAAAGGAGCACGAGCGUGACGUCUUCAACCUUUCACCUCGGAUGUGCAAUGCAGUAUGGGAAAUGGAGUCUUUCGAACGUACCACGUAAUCCUGUAAAUUUACAUUCAAUGGACAGAGGAACUGGCGUGUCUGUUAUCCAUUGUUGCAGCGCUUCCUGUCGGGUGGAGUAGGAUCCAUGUGAUGAAGAAGCCGGAACAUGACGUGACGUGUUGAGAAUCUCCUCUCCUCUUCUCUCCCAGUCUAGAAGAAUAUUGGGUUCUAUAAAAAGGUUACAUAAAGACUGCAUGUUAAAGUGGAAACUCUUAAUUUUGACAACCUGGAGAAAUAUAAAUGAAAAGAAACAAGAUGCAAACGUUAUAGUGAACAUUAAGGUUAAAGUUCAGUAUAAUGUAUGUUGAUAUACAUAAAAAACAAGUUAUGAAAAUGGGCGAGGUCUCCACUCUGUGGCAUUUGAUUCCAGCUCGUACAUGAUCCUGUUUAACCAGAUCCGGGUGUGAACUAAUAAUGGGAAACCUUACUCAAUAGCUUUUGAUGCUCCCUUCAUGUGAAGCAGUCCUGUGUGUGUGUGUGUGUGUGUGUGUGUGUGUGUGUGUGUGUGUGUGUGUGUGUGUGUGUGUGUGUGUGUGUGUGUGUGUGUGUGACCAGCUGACAUUGUUUGCUGCUGUAUCACGCAUAUUCCUCAGCGCCGUAACCUGAUUACUCAUGCUGCUGAUUUAUCCUUGAUACCGAAGAAGCCACAUAUUCAAUUAGAUCAACAAAACCUCUUGUGUUGAGGCUCAGGGGACAGAAACUAGCAGCAGUACAGUUAACAUGUACUGCCUCUCCAUCUCCACAGUGAAACCUGAGCAAGUAAAACAGCCUCAGAGGGCACAACAGCAUUCACUUUAAUGAAAUUCCAAGUGGAAUUCCAACUUGCUUAUCUUCGCUGCCCUCAGGGAGCUAUGCAGUCGCCUCAAGGCUGUCAUGUUUUUUUUAUUUACUUGAAUAUUUUGCUGAUUAAAUGUUGAUGUGACUCUUCAAUCCCAAAGAAAAUGUCCAGACUUGAACUUUUUCAUGCUUUUAAUAAAUGUAAAAUAUGUUUUUUAUGUAGAUAAAUGAGCCAUGGAGGAGAUAUCUUGCUGUUGACUGCCUGUCUGGCUCUUAUACACAUCCUGAAGGCUGGACUGUGUCUUGUUAUCAUCAACUCAAUAAUAUAAUACGAUUGCAUUAUACUGUAGAGACAGCCUGUA